rnacentral:rRNA from 1 species
CUAGGGCUCCAGAGGAAGCCACGGCUAACUCUGUGCCAGCAGCCGCGGUAAUACAGAGGCGGCAAGCGUUGUUCGGAAUUAUUGGGCGUAAAGAGCACGUAGGCGGCCUUGCAAGUCAGUUGUGAAAGCCUUCCGCUUAACGGAAGAAUGCCAGCUGAUACUACAGGGCUUGAGUACGGGAGGAGAGAGUGGAACUUCUGGUGGAGCGGUGAAAUGCGUAGAUAUCAGAAGGAACGCCGGCGGCGAAAGCGACUCUCUGGCCCGAAACUGACGCUGAGUGUGCGAAAGCUAGGGGAGCAAACGGGAUUAGAUACCCCGGUAGUCCUAGCCGUAAA